UGUUAUUGUGUGACGACUCGAUACAGA
rnacentral:sRNA from 1 species